rnacentral:rRNA from 1 species
GGAUUAGAUACCCUGGUAGUCCUGGCUGUAAACGAUGGACACUAGGUGUUGGUGGUAUCAACCCCGCCAGUGCCGUAGCUAACGCAUUAAGUGUCCCGCCUGGGGAGUACGGCCGCAAGGCUAAAACUCAAAAGAAUUGACGGGGGCCCGCACAAGCAGCGGAGCAUGUUCUUUAAUUCGAUGCAACGCGAAGAACCUUACCUGGACUUGACAUGGAGCUGCAAGCGCACGGAAACGUGUGACCUUCGAGGGUGCUUCACAGAUGCUGCAUGGCUGUCGUCAGCUCGUGUCGUGAGAUGUUGGGUUAAGUCCGCAACGAGCGCAACCCUGUGGUGUGUUGCCAGCAUUAAGUUGGGACUCACACAGACUGCCGGUG